rfam:Musa acuminata subsp. malaccensis Doubled-haploid Pahang (DH-Pahang) genomic chromosome, chr7
AUACUUACCUGGACGGGGUCGAUGGGCGAACAAGUAGGCCCAUGGCCUGGGUCUGUAACCUCCAUUGCACUUUGGAGGGGUGCUGGCCCACCAUCUCCCCAAGUGGGAGAGUGGACGUCAUAAUUUGUGGUAGAUGGGGGUACGCGUCCGCGCGGCCCCUGC